ACAAUAUUUGGUAUCGUAGGUCUACUGAGCUAUAUCACCCGCUCGGUGGAAGAUCUUUCCCUUGUCAU
rnacentral:pre_miRNA from 1 species